rnacentral:lncRNA from 1 species
UUUGCUGUCCAUAACCAGAUUUUAUCCCGUUUCUACAGAAAGAGUGGAGUAAUCUGCACUUGGAGAUUUUUAAUCAGUAGAACUUAAAACGGUUGUUUUGGCAUCACCCAGCUUCCAAACUCAGCUUGGACUCUCAAAAAUGAAGCUGGACUAAAGUUCUCCAACAAGUUCAGAAAAAUUAAAUACUUCUGUCUUGGUUCUCCUGGAUCCUCUGAAACUCUGAUGAAUUUAUAUCAACUAAAAUGCUGUCCCUCUGCUCUCUGGAUAUUUUCAAGAAGCUGUAGUGGUCAGCAAAUCAUAAAGAGUGAAAAACCACCCUACCAAAACAGCUAUCCACCACUAGCAAUAGGUAUCAUCUGCCACAGAAGAGCCAGACUUAUGACAGAGGUGUGAACUUCAUAUUUCUCUCUGAAACUAGG